UGGGAUAGGUUAGGACUCAUAUUUCCUAUUGGAUAACAAUCCAGCAAACCCUAGUAUUGUAAACCUGAGGGGAACCACGGGUUUAGAACGACAUCGCCUCCUUUCUCCUUUCUCCUUUCUCCUUUCUCCUUCGAUCGUCUACAGCCUCCACUUCCUCUCUCCUUCGUUCUUCUACGCCUCUGCUUUUUCGAUUGUCUACGCCUCUUCCUCCUCCUCAUUGGCUAUCAGCUAUUUCAUACCCAGAGGUGUUGGAUCCCGAGCAAGCAAUGAAAGCGCUAUCUGGGUAGACAUGAAUCGAAAGAGAAAGAGGAAGAUUGGGAAAGAGAAAGAGGAAGAAUUUUUGUGUUAUUAUUAAUUUUGUCAAUUUUGGGACUAUUUUUAUGGUAUCUUCAUGUGAUUUCUUAUUUUUAAUUU